AUGCUCCUAGUUGUGUUAAGUGUUGGCAGAUAUCUGGCUCCCCUCCCAGGAAGUCAGAAACUUGAACCCCGAACUUCCCCUCCCCACAUGAAGUCCGGGGUUUUUUUUGCCUGGGA
rnacentral:sRNA from 1 species